GUGUUGUCGAAGGGGACGCCCUGGGCGCUGGCGUAGGCGCGCGCGGCGAGGUAGACAGGUAGUAGCGGCCGCCGGGGGCCUGGUCGAAGUCUCCUUGCCUUGAGCUAAGUCCCAAUUGAAGAAGAGGCCGAAAGCAUCAUAUAUUCUUUAAAGGAUCAAGAUCAUUAGCUGAUUAUCAUGUGCUUCCCUACUACAUUACAUAGAUUUAUACUACAUAGUACUAUAGUAUAGUAUACGUGUAUAUAUCAUUAUACAUACACACUUCAGGUUUGAUGUAGGUGUUACAUGAAACUUAAAUAUAUACUUUAAGACUAAUCACAAUGGCCGAUUGUUUGCGUAACGAGCGCCCUUCUGAUGACGAUAUUGAUGCUGCUUCAGCACCCAAAA